CAGGUUCUGCCGCUCCCCGAGACCUGCAGAUUCCUGGUCUCCGGGUCCUGGGUCCCGGACGUGUCCGUCAGGGCGUCCAUUAGGGCCAUUACCUAAUGGACAAGCAUCAGGGAGACACUGGCCUAAGCAUAAGCCUUGAGGGUCUGUCCUGUACUAAACAAGCGCUUAAUCAGAGGAUGUGGCUUCUGUGGGAGAGCUUCAAAGGGUGCCCUACUUGCCCCUCUUGGUAACCAUGACAUCAUGGAAAUGGGAGGGGACCGCCCCAGCCCCCAAACACCUGGAGGGAAGUGGGAGACUUUUUCCACUUCCUGUUCUACUUGUGGCUACUGACUCAAUGUCUGACCUGUUUAUUAAUUGCAAAAUAUAGCUCUAUGUGUGCUACCCA
rnacentral:lncRNA from 1 species